AUUGAACGCUGGCGGCAUGCUUUACACAUGCAAGUCGAACGGCAGCGCGGGCUUCGGCCUGGCGGCGAGUGGCGAACGGGUGAGUAAUGCAUCGGAACGUGCCCAGUAGUGGGGGAUAGCCCGGCGAAAGCCGGAUUAAUACCGCAUACGACCUGAGGGUGAAAGCGGGGGACCGAAAGGCCUCGCGCUAUUGGAGCGGCCGAUGUCGGAUUAGCUAGUUGGUGGGGUAAAGGCUUACCAAGGUGACGAUCCGUAGCUGGUCUGAGAGGACGACCAGCCACACUGGGACUGAGACACGGCCCAGACUCCUACGGGAGGCAGCAGUGGGGAAUUUUGGACAAUGGGGGCAACCCUGAUCCAGCCAUGCCGCGUGCGGGAAGAAGGCCUUCGGGUUGUAAACCGCUUUUGUUCGGGAAGAAAUCCUCUGGGCUAAUACCCCGGGGGGAUGACGGUACCGGAAGAAUAAGCACCGGCUAACUACGUG
rnacentral:rRNA from 1 species